rnacentral:rRNA from 1 species
GGACUACCGGGGUAUCUAAUCCCGUUUGCUCCCCUGGCUUUCGCGCCUCAGCGUCAGAAGAGGUCCAGCGGGUCGCUUUCGCCACCGGCGUUCCUUCCGAUAUCAACGCAUUUCACCGCUCCACCGGAAGUUCCACCCGCCCCUACCUCGCUCGAGACUCCCAGUAUCCAAGGCUAUUUUCCGGUUGAGCCGAAAGAUUUCACCCCGGACUUGAGAGCCCGCCUACGCGCCCUUUAAGCCCAGUGAUUCCGAACAACGUUAGGACGGUUCGUCUUACCGCGGCUGCUGGCAC